UACGGAGGGGGCUAGCGUUGUUCGGAAUUACUGGGCGUAAAGCGCACGUAGGCGGCCUUGUAAGUUAGAGGUGAAAGCCCGGGGCUCAACUCCGGAAUUGCCUUUAAGACUGCAUCGCUAGAAUUGUGGAGAGGUAAGUGGAAUUCCGAGUGUAGAGGUGAAAUGCGUAGAGAUGUGGAGGAACACCGAUGGCGAAGGCAGCCUUCUGGGCCAACACUGACGCUCAUGCACGAAAGCGUGGGGAGCGAACAGG
rnacentral:rRNA from 1 species